CAAGCUUCUCGGCCUUUUGGCUAAGAUCAAGUGUAGUAUCUGUUCUUAUCAGUUUUAUUGGAUUUUAUGAACGGAUUUUACAACUUGAAGAGGACGCCACUGCGCUUGCGCUUUUUUAUAGUCUUAGCGAGUCCAGGGGGGAUCCGUAGGUGCAGUGUCUGGAGGCUUGUCCUCCGGCACCGCAUGUGAACCCUUGGGCUCUUUUAGU
ensembl:snRNA U2 U2 spliceosomal RNA